GAAUAUUGGGCAAUGGAGGCAACUCUGACCCAGCCAUGCCGCGUGGAGGAUGAAGGUCCUCUGGAUUGUAAACUUCUUUUAUCUGGGAAGAAACCCAUGGUUUCUACUGUGGUUGACGGUACCAGCUGAAUAAGCACCGGCUAACUCCGUGCCAGCAGCCGCGGUAAUACGGAGGGUGCAAGCGUUAUCCGGAUUCACUGGGUUUAAAGGGUGCGUAGGUGGGUAGGUAAGUCAGUGGUGAAAUCCCCGAGCUUAACUUGGGAACAGCCGUUGAUACUAUUUAUCUUGAAUAUCGAGUAGGUAAGCGGAAUAUGUCAUGUAGCGGUGAAAUGCUUAGAUAUGACAUAGAACACCAAUUGCGAAGGCAGCUUACUUCAAGAUUAUUGACACUGAGGCACGAAAGCGUGGGGAUCAAAC
rnacentral:rRNA from 1 species